GUGCCAGCAGCCGCGGUAAUACGGAGGAUCCAAGCGUUAUCCGGAAUCAUUGGGUUUAAAGGGUCCGUAGGCGGUUUGGUAAGUCAGUGGUGAAAGCCCAUCGCUCAACGGUGGAACGGCCAUUGAUACUGCCGAACUUGAAUUAUUGGGAAGUAACUAGAAUAUGUAGUGUAGCGGUGAAAUGCUUAGAGAUUACAUGGAAUACCAAUUGCGAAGGCAGGUUACUACCAAUGGAUUGACGCUGAUGGACGAAAGCGUGGGUAGCGAACAGGAUUAGAUACCCUGGUAGUCCACGCCGUAAACGAUGGAUACUAGCUGUUGGUGGCAACAUCAGUGGCUAAGCGAAAGUGAUAAGUAUCCCACCUGGGGAGUACGAACGCAAGUUUGAAACUCAAAGGAAUUGACGGGGGCCCGCACAAGCGGUGGAGCAUGUGGUUUAAUUCGAUGAUACGCGAGGAACCUUACCAAGGCUUAAAUGCAGACUGACCGAUUUGGAAACAGAUCUUUCGCAAGACAGUUUACAAGGUGCUGCAUGGUUGUCGUCAGCUCGUGCCGUGAGGUGUCAGGUUAAGUCCUAUAACGAGCGCAACCCCUGUUGUUAGUUGCCAGCGAGUAGUGUCGGGAACUCUAACAAGACUGCCAGUGCAAACUGUGAGGAAGGUGGGGAUGACGUCAAAUCAUCACGGCCCUUACGCCUUGGGCUACACACGUGCUACAAUGGCCGGUACAGAGAGCAGCCACCCCGCGAGGGGGAGCGAAUCUAUAAAGCCGGUCACAGUUCGGAUCGGAGUCUGCAACUCGACUCCGGAAG
rnacentral:rRNA from 1 species